rnacentral:rRNA from 1 species
AGAGUUUGAUCCUGGCUCAGGAUGAACGCUGGCGGCGUGCUUAACACAUGCAAGUCGAACGAUGAUCCCAGCUUGCUGGGGGAUUAGUGGCGAACGGGUGAGUAACACGUGAGUAACCUGCCCUUGACUCUGGGAUAAGCCUGGGAAACUGGGUCUAAUACCGGAUAUGACUCCUCAUCGCAUGGUGGGGGGUGGAAAGCUUUUGUGGUUUUGGAUGGACUCGCGGCCUAUCAGCUUGUUGGUGGGGUAAUGGCCUACCAAGGCGACGACGGGUAGCCGGCCUGAGAGGGUGACCGGCCACACUGGGACUGAGACACGGCCCAGACUCCUACGGGAGGCAGCAGUGGGGAAUAUUGCACAAUGGGCGCAAGCCUGAUGCAGCGACGCCGCGUGAGGGAUGACGGCCUUCGGGUUGUAAACCUCUUUCAGUAGGGAAGAAGCGAAAGUGACGGUACCUGCAGAAGAAGCGCCGGCUAACUACGUGCCAGCAGCCGCGGUAAUACGUAGGGCGCAAGCGUUAUCCGGAAUUAUUGGGCGUAAAGAGCUCGUAGGCGGUUUGUCGCGUCUGCUGUGAAAGACCGGGGCUCAACUCCGGUUCUGCAGUGGGUACGGGCAGACUAGAGUGCAGUAGGGGAGACUGGAAUUCCUGGUGUAGCGGUGAAAUGC